rnacentral:rRNA from 1 species
UUCGGAUUGUAGUCUGCAACCCGACUACAUGAAGCCGGAAUCGCUAGUAAUCGCGAAUCAGAAUGUCGCGGUGAAUACGUUCCCGGGUCUUGUACACACCGCCCGUCACACCAUGGGAGCCGGAAAUGCCCGAAGUCAGUGGCCCAACCUUAAAGGAGGGAGCUGCCGAAGGUGGAGCUGGUAACUGGGGUGAAGUCGUAACAAGGUAGC